rnacentral:rRNA from 1 species
GGCGGGGCUGGGGCACCGGGGGCCCUACGGGGCCAGCGUGCUCAAAAAUUUUAUAAUGCUCUGAAACCGUGUUUAGGCGACACCAAGUGCCACCAUCAUAUGCUGGCUGUCUCAGGUGUGUAAAAUACACCUGUUUACAAGGGCCGGUCAAGACCGGUGCCAGCCGCCGCUGCAACACCGGUAGCCCGUAGUGUUGAUUGUAAUUAUUGGGUCUAAAGGGUCCGUAGCCGGUUUGGUCAGUCCUCAGGGAAAUCUGAUAGCUUAACUGUUAGGCUUUCUGGGGAUACUGCCAGGCUUGGAACCGGGAGAGGUAAGAGGUACUACAGGGGUAGGA